rnacentral:rRNA from 1 species
GGAAGGAUCAUUAUCGAUUCGUAACACCUUACUCACUGUGCACUCGGUCGCUGCGCUCGCGCUCGUGCGUGCGGCUCCUUUCGGGGUUUGCCUCCCUCUCUCGGGGAGGUGAUUAAAUCGGGACGCCAGAGUUCCGGGCCCCGAUCGGAGCUUGCUCGUGCGCGGCGCAGCGGUUUUCACGGCCGCGCCCCCGUGCGCGGCGCUCGUGAUUACCUUACACCAAACCUGGCAAAUUUGCAGACUGUACUGUUGGUCAAGCUUGUCUUGAUGAUCAAAUCAUUGACAACUUUCAACGGUGGAUCUCUUGGCUCGUGGAUCGAUGAAGAACGCAGCAAAACGCGAUAUGUAGUGUGAAUUGCAGAAUUCAGUGAAUCAUCGAAUCUUUGAACGCAAAUGGCGCUUCUGGGUAUUCCCAGGAGCAUGUCUGUCUCAGCGUCGUUUUCACCUCGAGCACGCUUCGGCGUGGUGGUCUUGAGGCGUCUGGGCGCCCAACCGCUCCCAGUCCCUUGAAAUGCAGUGGCCGGACAGUGUGUGCUCUCGGGUCGGUUCGCCCCGAAUUCGCUCGCACGGCUGAUGGCGAGAUCUCUUCUGAUCUCCCUUGUCGUGUCGCAGCGGUCGGUGGUUUCGAGCCUGGCUCCGAACGGCCUUUGUCCGAAUCAAGCCAGUUCUGGAAAACGACACGUUCUUCGAACCUGCUGCCCUCGUCGGCAGCACGACGAUGAACAUCUUCGACCUGAGAUCAGGCAAGAC